CGAGGCCGCUCCCUCGCCGCCGCCUUCUGCUCGCAUGGCUCCGCUCCGCUUUUCGGCCAACGUCUCCUGGCUGUUUCCAGAGCUCCCCGGGCUCCCCGAGCGGCUGCACGCCGCGGGCCGUGCGGGCUUCGAAGCGGCCGAGGUGGCCUGGCCGUACACCGAGUCCCCCCAGGCGCUGGCGAGCGCGGCGCAGACUGCGGGACUGCGGCUGGUGCUCAUCAACACGCCGCGGGGAUCCACCUGAUGGCUGGCCGAGUACCCCAAGGGGCUGACCGGGCUGCAGUCAAGGGGGAGAUGGAGACGGUUUUUGUGGAGAAUCUGAAGCAUGCAGCUGGCGUUCUGGCUCAGGAGAACCUCGUGGGACUGCUGGAGCCCAUCAACACCCGAAUCACAGACCCCCAGUAUUUCCUGGACACGCCCCGGCAAGCGGCAGCCAUUUUGCAGAAGGUUGGGAGACCCAAUCUGCAGUUGCAGAUGGACAUAUUCCACUGGCAGAUCAUGGAUGGGAAUCUCACAGGAAACAUCAGGGAGUUUCUGCCCACUGUCGGGCAUGUGCAAGUGGCCCAGGUCCCAGACCGCGGGGAGCCAGGCAGCUCUGGAGAGCUAGACUUUACUUACCUGUUUCAGCUGCUAGAAGAUGAGGGCUACCAAGGAUUUGUGGGUUGCGAGUAUCGGCCUCGAGGAGACACAGUGGAGGGUCUGAGUUGGCUACGUUCAUACUGGGACAGGCGGGGCCACCCACGGACUGGCCAGUAAGGUUCUGCACAGCACCUGCAUGCUGCCCUGGGGCGGUGUGUUAGUGUCCGGAGUCCCCUCCUCUGAAUUAAAAUCACACUGAGCGUU